UCUGAGUGUGUAAUUGUGCAAUUGUGUUGGUAAUUUGUUUGCUUGUCUGCAUUUGCAUGCAUGCGCCGCUUUUCCGUCUCAUUUUUUCUUUUAAUGAUGCAUCUAAGAGCAUGUUUUCCCCCUGUUUGUGUGCAUUUGUGCUGAUGUUAAGUGGGAUCCAUUAUGGCCAUGGUUUGUUAAGAAGCGCGGAUGCAGAGCUUAGUGCCAAGGCGAAGACCUGUCAGCUCCGCUUGUGUGGAGGGGGAGUUCAUCACUCAGUGGAAUGAAGAUUUGUGCGAAGCCCCUUGGCUGUGAUGCCUCCCACCUCUGCUUUACUCAUAUGUCCUUAGCUCAGCAGGGAAAAGUGGAUCCACGGAAAAGCAGAAUGUUGACGUCAUAAAAAUCUGGAUGCCAACAACCUCACAGCCAUGUUCCUAUUAGCAAACAUUCACACUCACACAGUGGAAGUGUUUGGGCCGCUCCCAGUUCACCCACUGGGAUCUGAAACGAGCUGCAGACACAGCAUCACAACAGGACACUUUAUGUGGAUCUAUAAAAGUGUCUGCACCAAAUUUACAGAGAACGCUGAGAAAUAAUGUGCUGUACUGUGAAGUAUUGAUGAGUGGAGAAUAAACUGAAUUAUAGAAAAU